CACACACGAGGGAUACUAGGUAGCAAGCAUAUUAUAUAUAUUUACAACUCACCAUCACGCACGAGGGACACUAGGUAGCAAGCAUAUUAUAUAUAUUUACAACUUACCAUUACACACGAGGGACACUAAGUAGCAAGCAUAUUAUAUAUAUUUACAGCUUACCAUCACACACGAGGGACACUAGGUAGCAAGCAUAUUAUAUAUAUUUACAACUCACCAUCACAUACGAGGGACACUAGGUAGCAAGCAUAUUAUAUAUAUUUACAACUCACCAUCACACACGGGGGACACUAGGUAGCAAGCAUAUUAUAUAUAUUUACAACUUACCAUCACACACGAGGGACACUAGGUAGCAAGCAUAUUAUAUAUAUUUACAGCUUACCAUCACACACGGGGGACACUAGGUAGCAAGCAUAUUAUAUAUAUUUACAACUCACCAUCACACACAAGGGACACUAGGUAGCAAGCAUAUUAUAUAUAUUUACAGCUCACCAUCACACACGAGGGACACUAGGUAGCAAGCAUAUUAUAUAUAUUUACAACUCACCAUCACACACGGGGACACUAGGUAGCAAGCAUAUUAUAUAUAUUUACAACUCACCAUCACACACGAGGGACACUAGGUAGCAAGCAUAUUAUAUAUAUUUACAGCUCACCAUCACACACGAGGGACACUAGGCAGCAAGCAUAUUAUAUAUAUUUACAGCUUACC